AUCUUUGUAGCUUAUAUAGAGCAAUUUACUGAAGAUAAAGAAGACUAAAACAUCUCCAUCAUG
rnacentral:tRNA from 1 species